GAUGAACGCUGGCGGCGUGCCUAAUACAUGCAAGUCGAACGACCAGACGAUGAGCUCGCUCCUCUGCCGUUAGCGACGGACGGAUGGGUAACAAGUGGAUCACCUACUUCUUAGACUGGGGUAACUUCGGGAGAACGCAGCUACUACCACAUAAUAUCACGUACCGGAUGAUUCAAUAGAUAUUGACGCUUUUCCUGUCACUAUGAGCUGAUUCCGGGUCGGAUUAGCUAGUUGGUAGGGUAACGGCCUACCAAGGCGACGAUGCGUAGCCGGUCUGAGAGGAUGAUCAGCCACACUGGAACUGAGACACGGUCCAGACUCCUACGGGAGGCAGCAGUGGGGAAUAUUGGACAAUGGGCGAAAGCCUGAUCCAGCCAUACCGCGUGGGUGAAGAAGGCCUUCGGGUUGUAAAGCCCUUUUGUUGGGAAAGAAAAGCAGCAGGUUAAUACCCCGCUGUUCUGACGGUACCCAAAGAAUAAGCACCGGCUAACUUCGUG
rnacentral:rRNA from 1 species